rnacentral:rRNA from 1 species
UGCGUAGGUGGCAGAUCAAGUCUGGAGUAAAAGGUAUGGGCUCAACCCGUACUGGCUCUGGAAACUGAUCAGCUAGAGAACAGAAGAGGACGGCGGAACUCCAUGUGUAGCGGUAAAAUGCGUAGAUAUAUGGAAGAACACCGGUGGCGAAGGCGGCCGUCUGGUCUGGAUUCUGACACUGAAGCACGAAAGCGUGGGGAGCAAAUA